UGAGUAACCUGCCCCAAACUCUGGGAUAAGCACUGGAAACGGUGUCUAAUACCGGAUAUGAGCUUCAGCCGCAUGGCUAGGAGUUGGAAAGAAUUUCGGUUUGGGAUGGACUCGCGGCCUAUCAGCUAGUUGGUGAGGUAAUGGCUCACCAAGGCGACGACGGGUAGUCGGCCUGAGAGGGUGACCGGCCACACUGGGACUGAGACACGGCCCAGACUCCUACGGGAGGCAG
rnacentral:rRNA from 1 species